UACGUAGGCAGCAAGCGUUGUCCGGAAUUAUUGGGCGUAAAGAGCUCGUAGGCGGUUUGUCGCGUCUGCUGUGAAAACCCGUGGCUCAACCAUGUGGUCUGCAGUCGAUACGGGCAGGCUAGAAUUCGGUAGGGGAGACUGGAAUUCCUGGUGUAGCGGUGAAAUGCGCAGAUAUCAGGAGGAACACCGGUGGCGAAGGCGGGUCUCUGGGCCGAUAUUGACGCUGAGGAGCGAAAGCGUGGGGAGCGAACAGG
rnacentral:rRNA from 1 species